rnacentral:rRNA from 1 species
GACGAACGCUGGCGGCGCGCUUAACACAUGCAAGUCGAGCGAGAACCAGACCUUCGGGUCUGGGGACAGCGGCGAACGGGUGAGUAACACGUGGGUAAUCAACCCUCGGUACUGGGAUAGCCCGGGGAAACCCGGAUUAAUACCGGAUGGCCCUUCGGAUCUUCGGUUCUGAAGGACAAGGUAGCUUCGGCCUCCGACCGAGGACGAGCCCGCGGCGGAUUAGCUUGUUGGUGGGGUAACGGCCUACCAAGGCGGCGAUCCGUAGCUGGUCUGAGAGGACGAUCAGCCACACUGGGACUGAGACACGGCCCAGACUCCUACGGGAGGCAGCAGUGGGGAAUCUUGCGCUAAUGCGGGAAACCGUGACGCAGCGACGCCGCGUGAGGGAAGAAGGCCUUCGGGUUGUAAACCUCUUUCAGGAGGGACGAAGCUACUCGGGUUAAUAGCCCAGAGGGUGACGGUACCUCCAGAAGAAGCCCCGGCUAACUACGUGCCAGCAGCCGCGGUAAUAC